rfam:Xenopus laevis strain J chromosome 5S, whole genome shotgun sequence.
UGGAAGUGAUGAGCUUUUAUCUGAGAAUUUUUAUGAUGAAAAUCAUUUCUCUAGAUAGUCAAGUACUGAUCCAG